CCAACAGGGAUUGCCUCAGUAACGGCGAGUGAAGCGGCAACAGCUCAAAUUUGAUAUCUGGCCCUAGGCCCGAGUUGUAAUUUGCAGAGGAUGCUUUUGGCAAGGUGCCUUCCGAGUUCCCUGGAACGGGACGCCAUAGAGGGUGAGAGCCCCGUCUGGUCGGACACCGAGCCUCUGUAAAGCUCCUUCGACGAGUCGAGUAGUUUGGGAAUGCUGCUCAAAAUGGGAGGUAUAUGUCUUCUAAAGCUAAAUACCGGCCAGAGACCGAUAGCGCACAAGUAGAGUGAUCGAAAGAUGAAAAGCACUUUGAAAAGAGAGUUAAAUAGCACGUGAAAUUGUUGAAAGGGAAGCGUUUAUGACCAGACUUGGCCCGGUUGAUCAUCCAGCCUUCUGGCUGGUGCACUCUGCCGGUCCAGGCCAGCAUCAGUUCGUCGCGGGGGAUAAAGGUUUCGGGAAUGUAUCUCCUCCGGGAGUGUUAUAGCCCGUUGCGUAAUACCCUGCGGUGGACUGAGGUCCGCGCUCUGCAAGGAUGCUGGCGUAAUGGUCAUCAACGACCCGUCUUGAAACACGGACCAAGGAGUCGUCUUCGUAUGCGAGUGUUCGGGUGUAAAACCCCUACGCGUAAUGAAAGUGAACGCAGGUGAGAGCUUCGGCGCAUCAUCGACCGAUCCUGAUGUUCUCGGAUGGAUUUGAGUAAGAGCAUACGGGGCCGGACCCGAAAGAAGGUGAACUAUGCCUGUAUAGGGUGAAGCCAGAGGAAACUCUGGUGGAGGCUCGCAGCGGUUUCUGACGUGCAAAUCGAUCGUCAAAUAAUGGGCAUGGGGGCGAAAGACUAAUCGAACCUUCUAGUAGCUGG
rnacentral:rRNA from 1 species